CUCGCCUGCAUGAAGUUGGAAUUGCUAGUAAUCGCGAAUCAGAAUGUCGCGGUGAAUACGUUCCCGGGCCUUGUACACACCGCCCGUCACACCAUGAGAGUCGAUAACACCCGAAGCCUGUGAGCUAACCGCAAGGGGGCAGCAGUCGAAGGUGGGGUUNAUGAUUGGGGUGAAGUCGUAACAAGGUAGC
rnacentral:rRNA from 1 species